rnacentral:tRNA from 1 species
GGAGGUAUGGCUCAAGUAGUAGAGCACCUGCUUAACAAGCCUGGAAGCUUUGAGUUCAAACCCUAGUACCACCA